rnacentral:rRNA from 1 species
UACGUAGGGUGCAAGCGUUAUUCGGAUUCACUGGGCGUAAAGGGUGCGCAGGCGGCCGUGUGUGUGAGGCGUGAAAGCCCGGGGCUCAACCCCGGAAUUGCACCUCAAACUACAUGGCUAGAGCAUUGGAGAGGGUAGCGGAAUUCACGGUGUAGCAGUGAAAUGCGUAGAUAUCGUGAGGAACACCAGAGGCGAAGGCGGCUACCUGGACAAUUGCUGACGCUCAGGCACGAAAGCGUGGGGAGCAAAAGGG